rnacentral:rRNA from 1 species
UACGAAGGGGGCUAGCGUUGUUCGGAAUUACUGGGCGUAAAGCGCGCGCAGGCGGUUCUACAAGUCAGUGGUGAAAGCCCGGAGCUCAACUCCGGAACUGCCAUUGAAACUGCAGAACUUGAGGAUGAGAGAGGUGAGUGGAAUUCCCAGUGUAGAGGUGAAAUUCGUAGAUAUUCGGAAGAACACCAGUGGCGAAGGCGACUCACUGGACACGUAUUGACGCUGAGGUGCGAAAGCGUGGGGAGCAAACAGG